GUGGGGAAUCUUGCGCAAUGGGCGAAAGCCUGACGCAGCCAUGCCGCGUGAAUGAUGAAGGUCUUAGGAUUGUAAAAUUCUUUCACCGGGGACGAUAAUGACGGUACCCGGAGAAGAAGCUCCGGCUAACUUCGUACCAGCAGCCGCGGUAAUACGAAGGGGGCUAGCGUUGCUCGGAAUUACUGGGCGUAAAGGGCGCGUAGGCGGACAGCUUAGUCAGAGGUGAAAGCCCAGGGCUCAACCUUGGAAUUGCCUUUGAUACUGGCUGUCUUGAGUUUGGGAGAGGUGAGUGGAACUCCGAGUGUAGAGGUGAAAUUCGUAGAUAUUCGGAAGAACACCAGUGGCGAAGGCGACUCACUGGCCCAAUACUGACGCUGAGGCGCGAAAGCGUGGGGAGCAAACAGGAUUAGAUACCCUGGUAGUCC
rnacentral:rRNA from 1 species